rnacentral:rRNA from 1 species
UGGGGAAUAUUGGACAGUGGGCGAAAGCCUGAUCCAGCCAUGCCGCGUGUGUGAAGAAGGUCUUCGGAUUGUAAAGCACUUUAAGUUGGGAGGAAGGGCAGUAAGCGAAUACCUUGCUGUUUUGACGUUACCGACAGAAUAAGCACCGGCUAACUCUGUGCCAGCAGCCGCGGUAAUACAGAGGGUGCAAGCGUUAAUCGGAAUUACUGGGCGUAAAGCGCGCGUAGGUGGUUCGUUAAGUUGAAUGUGAAAGCCCCGGGCUCAACCUGGGAACUGCAUCCAAAGCUGGCGAGCUAGAGUAGGGCAGAGGGUGGUGGAAUUUCCUGUGUAGCGGUGAAAUGCGUAGAUAUAGGAAGGAACACCAGUGGCGAAGGCAACCACCUGGGCUCAUACUGACACUGAGGUGCGAAAGCGUGGGGAGCAAACAGG